rnacentral:pre_miRNA from 1 species
CAAGUACUCCCUCCGUUCGGAAUUACUUGUCAUCAAAAUGGAUGUGUCUAGAACUAAAAUACAUCUAGAUACAUCCAUUUCAAUGACAAGGAUUUUUGGACAGAGGGAGUACAAG